AGAAGCAUAAUAAAUGUUCAGAAUACAGUGCAAGUUGAGUUUAUAAAAAAAUUUUCUCUGGUUUCUAAGUGUCGUCUGCGCAUGCAAGAAGAAAAUGUAUGAAGAGUAUGUAAUAUUGGUUCCUGCGCUCAUUCUGAAUUGACCUGUGGAAGCGGACAAAUCUUAUCAGAAGCAUAAUAAAUGUUCGGAAUACUGCGUACGUUGAGUAUAUAAAAAAAUUUUCUCUUGUUUAUAAGUGCGUCUGCUCAUGCGCGAAAAAUGGAUAAAUAGCGUGAAAUAUUGCUUCCUGUGCUCAUUCUGCUGUGACCUCUAGAGGCGACCACAUCGGUAAAUCGUAUUAUUUUAUGUAUUAAAUUUAUCUGGAAUAUACUUUUAUAGUUAUUCACACAAAUUUAUUACAGUAUCAGAAGCAUAAGAAAUGUUCGGAAUACGGCGUACGUUGAGUAUAUAAAAAAAAUGUUCUCUUGUUUAUAAGUUUCGUCUGUGCAUGCGCCAAAAAAGGGAUAACUAGGGUGAAAUAUUGCUUCCUGUGCUCAUUCUGCUGUGACCUCUAGAGGCGACCACAUCGUAUCAGAAGCAUAAGAAAUGUUCGGAAUACGGCGUACGUUGAGUAUAUAAAAAAAUUUUCUCUUGUUUAUAAGUGCGUCUGCGCAUGCGCGAAAAAUGGAUAAAUAGCGUGAAAUAUUGCUUCCUGUGCUCAUUCUGCUGUGACCUCUAGAGGCGGCCACAUGGUAUCAGAAGUAAACUAGAGAUUCAGAAUACUGUGCAAGUUGAGUUUAUAAAAGAAUUUUCUCUGGUUUAUAAGUGUCGUCCCCUCAUGCGCAAAAAAUGGAUAAAUAGCGUCAAAUAUUGCCUCCUGUUCUCCUUCUGCUGUGACCUCUAGAGGCGGCCACAUCGUAUCAGAAGCAUAAUAAAUGUUCAGAAUACUGUGCAAGUUGAGUUUAUAAAAAAAUUUUCUCUGGUUUCUAAGUGUCGUCUGCGCAUGCAAGAAGAAAAUGUAUGAAGAGUAUGUAAUAUUGGUUCCUGCGCUCAUUCUGAAUUGACCUCUGGAAGCGGUCAAAUCUGUAAACCCAAUUAUUUUAAAUAUUAAAUUUAUCUGGAAUAUCCUUUUAUAUUUAU